CAGGGAGUAGUUUAUUAUAAAAUAUUAGUUUUGGGUAUUAAUGAUAGGUGAAUUUUCACUUUUCUCUGA
rnacentral:tRNA from 1 species